UUUUAUGAGAGUUUGAUCCUGGCUCAGGACGAACGCUGACGGCGUGCCUAAUACAUGCAAGUCGAACGCUUCUUUUUCCACCGGAGCUUGCUCCACCGGAAAAAGAAGAGUGGCGAACGGGUGAGUAACACGUGGGUAACCUGCCCAUCAGAAGGGGAUAACACUUGGAAACAGGUGCUAAUACCGUAUAACAAUCAAAACCGCAUGGUUUUGAUUUGAAAGGCGCUUUCGGGUGUCGCUGAUGGAUGGACCCGCGGUGCAUUAGCUAGUUGGUGAGGUAACGGCUCACCAAGGCCACGAUGCAUAGACGACCUGAGAGGGUGAUCGACCACAUUGGAACUGAGACACGGCUCACACUGCUACGGGAGGCAGCAGUAGGGAAUCUUCGGCAAUGGACGAACGACUGACCGGUGAACGCCGUGUGCGUGUAGAUUGGGUUUGUAACUGAAUACUCUGGU
rnacentral:rRNA from 1 species